UCGAUAUAGAUCUGCCGAUUC
ensembl:piRNA 21ur-2790 ncRNA